AUCGUAUAACGGAGGCACGAGGGCUGUCGCUGACUUUUCAUAAAAGUUGUGCACGCCCUAGUGUCUGCAUACAUUCCCUCCCACCCCUUGUGCACCACCGCGUGGGCCCCCUUUCGGCGUCGUUCCGAAAGGGUGCUCGCGUUUUUAACACAGACACAGUAUGGUUUAGAAUGUCUUCCUUUAAUGCGAUAACACGCAGUCAAUACAACUUUCAACAACGGAUCUCUUGGCUCUCGCAUCGAUGAAGAACGCAGCGAAAUGCGAUACGUAAUGUGAAUUGCAGAAUUCAGUGAAUCAUCGAAUCUUUGAACGCACCUUGCGCCCCUUGGCAUUCCGAGGGGCACACCCGUUUGAGUGUCGUGACAUCCUCAACCUUCUUGGUUUUCAAAACCCAAAGAAAGGCUUGGAAUUUGAAGGCUGCUGGCUUCUCUUGAAGCCAGCUCCUCCGAAAUGUAUUAGUGGGGUCGACUUUGCUGAUCCUGGACGUGAUAAGAUGCUUCUACGUCCUUUUGGGUUUUCGCAACCGCACCUUGCUCCUAACCUUUAGACCAUUGCUUCUUGACCUCAAAUCGGGUGAGACUACCCGCUGAACUUAAGCAUAUCAAUAAGCGGAGGAAAAGAAACUAACAAGGAUUCCCCUAGUAACUGCGAGUGAAGCGGGAAAAGCUCAAAUUUAAAAUCUGGUGGUCUUUGGCCAUCCGAGUUGUAAUUUAGAGAAGCGUCUUCCGCGCUGGACCGUGCACAAGUCUCCUGGAAUGGAGCGUCAUAGAGGGUGAGAAUCCCGUCUUUGGCACGGUUACCCCAGGGCUUCUGUGAUGCGCUCUCGAAGAGUCGAGUUGUUUGGGAAUGCAGCUCAAAAUGGGUGGUGAACUCCAUCUAAAGCUAAAUAUUGGCGAGAGACCGAUAGCGAACAAGUACCGUGAGGGAAAGAUGAAAAGCACUUUGGAAAGAGAGUGAAACAGUACGUGAAAUUGUUGAAAGGGAAACGCUUGAAGUCAGUCGCGUCGACCGAGACUCAGCCUUGCCUCGGCUUGGUGUAUUUCUCGACCGACGGGUCAGCAUCAAUUUUGCCCCUCGGAUAAUGGCAAGGGAAAGGUGGCACCUUUUCAGGUGUGUUAUAGUCCUUUGUCGCAUGCGAGGGUCGAGAUUGAGGGACUCAGCAUGGGGUGCCUUUUGGCGCUUUCGGGGCUUCGGCUCAC
rnacentral:rRNA from 1 species